UUAACAAUGUCUCUCUGUAUUGAAUAUAGAAAGUUAUUUCAGUGUCAAUGUCAAUGUGACUAUCAAUGGCUCUGGUGACCCUGAGAACAUAAUUACAACCUGGGUAAGAUAUAAAACUAAGAGAACCUAAAUUCAUCCAAAUACGUUGCAUGUCAAACAGGAAAUAAGUAUCACAUCUCUGCAUCACGUCACAGUUGUUUUAUCAUCACUGCAGCUUCAUGAAACUCUUUCUGGUAAAGGAAUACAUGUGUUGCAUUUUAAACUCUUGACUUCCUCAACACAUGCACAAAAACGAAGGUUAGUCAGUCUUCUUGUUAUUGCAGAGAACAGACCAAACCCCAAGACACACUAUAGAAUUUUUUUAACAUGUCUGAUUUGCGUUUGCAGUGUGGAAACAGAAUCAUUCAAAGUGGAAAGAAAGCGGUCUCUGCUUUCAGUAACAAGGUGAGAUGUUCAUUACAAGACAGCAGUUCAGAAAAGUAAACAAUAGUAAACAAUAAUUGUUGUGAACAUACGAUGUGUUUUAAUGGGGUUAUCUGAUAUGGCUUGUUCCCAGCCAUAGCUGUGUUUUUCAUGCCCAGGUAACAACUUACACAGACAUCAGAGAAACAGAAAAAUGGAUUCAUGGGCUUCUGGAGAAACAAUACACCAGUGGAGCAGUACUCUUAAAAGCACAACCUGAGGACAUUUUAAUUUCUUAUAUUGGUAUGUGAUACAUCUGAAGAAAAAUAAAAUCAGAUGAUGACAGAAUCAGACUAUGAUACAUUCUCAGUAAUACAUACCUGUGUUNUAUCUCUUUUCUUAUCUAAAAACAGGGCCAUGUCCUGAGCACAACCAUCACACCAGGCAAGGGCUUUUCAGUUGGUCCCAAACUGGGGUUCAGCGCAACACCUCACUUUCCUGUGUGGGAAACCCUAAAAAGUUAGCCUAUAGACAAUGGUAAGAGCCUCUCUUAAAAAUAUUUGUUUCAACCUAAAUAGAAUUGAAGUUAGAAAUUGCUUCAUAAUUUUUUUAAGAAAACAUUCCAUUUUCUC
rnacentral:lncRNA from 12 species